GGAGAGGUGGCAGAGUGGUUGAAUGCGGCGGUCUUGAAAACCGUUUCUCGACUUAUCGGGACGGGGGUUCAAAUCCCUCCCUCUCCG
rnacentral:tRNA from 1 species